rnacentral:sRNA from 1 species
GCCGGGCGUGGUGGCGGACACCUGUAAUCCCAGCUACUUGGGAGGCUGAGGCAGGAGAAUCACUUGAACCCAUGAGGCAGAGGUUGCAGUGAGCCGAGAUUACGCCAUUGCACUCCAGCCCAGGUGACAGUGCAAGACUCCAUCAAAAUAAAUAAAUAAAUAAAUAAAAUAAAUAUUAAUAAUAAUUUUAAACAAUUAAAAAAUAUGGGGUUUUUUUGAGACAGAGUCUCACUCUGUCGCCCAGGCUGGAGUGCAGUGGCAUGAUCUCAGCUCACUGCAACCUCUGCCUCCUGGGUUCAAGUGAUUCUUCUGCCUCA